AGAGCGAACGCUGGCGGCGUGCUUAACACAUGCAAGUCGAACGCGCAGCAUUCUGUAGCAAUACAGGGUGUGGGCGCGUGGCGAACGGGUGCGUAACACGUGGAUAACCUUCCUUGAGGUGGGGAAUAACCCAGUGAAAAUUGGGCUAAUACCGCAUAACAUCGCGAUGGCACAUGCUGAUGCGAUCAAAGGCGCAAGUCGCCACAAGAGGGAUCCGCGGCCGAUUAGCUUGUUGGCGAGGUAAUGGCUCACCAAGGCGACGAC
rnacentral:rRNA from 1 species